CCUACGGGAGGCAGCAGUGAGGAAUAUUGGUCAAUGGACGAGAGUCUGAACCAGCCAAGUAGCGUGAAGGAUGACUGCCCUAUGGGUUGUAAACUUCUUUUAUAUGGGAAUAAAAUGUUCCACGUGUGGGAUUUUGUAUGUACAAUAUGAAUAAGGAUCGGCUAACUCCGUGCCAGCAGCCGCGGUAAUACGGAGGAUCCGAGCGUUAUCCGGAUUUAUUGGGUUUAAAGGGAGCGUAGGUGGGUUGUUAAGUCAGUUGUGAAAGUUUGCGGCUCAACCGUAAAAUUGCAGUUGAAACUGGCAGUCUUGAGUACAGUAGAGGUGGGCGGAAUUCGUGGUGUAGCGGUGAAAUGCUUAGAUAUCACGAAGAACUCCGAUUGCGAAGGCAGUUCACUGGACUGCAACUGACACUGAGGCUCGAAAGUGUGGGUAUCAAACAGGAUUAGAUACCCUUGUAGUC
rnacentral:rRNA from 1 species